rnacentral:rRNA from 1 species
AGCGAACGCUGGCGGCAGGCCUAACACAUGCAAGUCGAGCGCCCCGCAAGGGGAGCGGCAGACGGGAGAGUAACACGUGGGAACGUACCCUUCAGUUCGGAACAACCCAGGGAAACUUGGGCUAAUACCGAAUACGUCCGUAAGGAGAAAGAUUUAUCGCUGAAGGAUCGGCCCGCGUCUGAUUAGCUAGUUGGUGAGGUAACGGCUCACCAAGGCGACGAUCAGUAGCUGGUCUGAGAGGAUGAUCAGCCUCACUGGGACUGAGACACGGCCCAGACUCCUACGGGAGGCAGCAGUGGGGAAUAUUGGACAAUGGGCGCAAGCCUGUUCCAGCCAUGCCGCGUGGAUGAUGAAGGCCCUAGGGUUGUAAAGUCCUUUCGGCGGGGAAGAUAAUGACGGUACCCGCAGAAGAAGCCCCGGCUAACUUCGUGCCAGCAGCCGCCGUAAGAC